rnacentral:rRNA from 1 species
CAGUCGCCACGGUAAUACGUAGGGGGCAAGCGUUAUCCGGAUUUACUGGGUGUAAAGGGAGCGUAGACGGAAUGGCAAGUCUGAAGUGAAAUGCCCGGGCUCAACCCGGGAACUGCUUUGGAAACUGUCGAUCUGGAGUGUUGGAGAGGUAAGUGGAAUUCCUGGUGUAGCGGUGAAAUGCGUAGAGAUCAGGAAGAACACCGGAGGCGAAGGCGGCUUACUGGACAAAGACUGACGUUGAGGCUCGAAAGCGUGGGAAGCAAACAGGAUUAGAGACCCCCGUAGUCCCUGUCUCUUAUAC